GAGAUCCAUCGAUUGAUUGAGCGAGAGAAGGAAUGGCGGCUCCGUCCGGGCUCAAGCAGCGGCGCCAGGAGUUCCCUUCUCUCUCGCUCACCGACCUCUCGCCGUCUCCAUCCGCCCCGCUGCCGCAGGAGGCGACCGGCUCCUUCGGCGCCGAUCCCUUCGGCCGUCCCCAGCUGUCGUUCCGGACACCCGGCGCGGCUGCGCCGGCAGUAGGAUUCGAUCUCCAUGCUACUCAGUU
rnacentral:misc_RNA from 1 species